rnacentral:misc_RNA from 1 species
GUAGGUGAACCUGCGGAAGGAUCAUUAACAAAUUCCAAAACUCGUCCUUUGCCUAACUUUGAGGUGCCCGUUUACAACAUACUAAAGCUGACCUGCGAGGCCUAUCCCACUGGGACGGACUACUGGUCGGUGGACGUGGCACCAAGGAGACUGGUAAAUUACACACAACAAACAUUUAUUGACAACUAAUGGAGAAACCACGAUUAAUCGUAAAAACAACUUUUAACAAUGGAUCUCUCGGCUCUU